rnacentral:rRNA from 1 species
UAUUGCACAAUGGGCGAAAGCCUGAUGCAGCAACGCCGCGUGAAGGAUGAAGGUCUUCGGAUCGUAAACUUCUGUCCUUGGGGAAGAAGAAAGUGACGGUACCCAUGGAGGAAGCCCCGGCUAACUACGUGCCAGCAGCCGCGGUAAU